CAGGGGAAGAUGUAUAAACUCAUGGAGAGAAAUAAAGUAUCAAAAGCAACCAAUCAGCUCUAAGGCUGGGUACAUACUAUACUGUAUAUCGUUCGUACAGCUAACAAAUGAUCUAUCGUCACAGCCGUUGGAGGGUGUGUACACCGAUAUGUCUGUGAAUAACGUGCACAGACAUAUCACGUCAGCUGUGCAGCAUGGUAGAAGCCGAUACAUCUUCCAGAUAUAUUGUUACAUAUGCCUGUGUGUACGGGCGAUCUAGCGCCUGACCCAUACGCCAUCCGCAGGAACCGAUGACAAUGACGUCACUACCGUCUCAUUCUUAUCUGUAGUUCCUGCUAUUGUUGGAGAUUAUAUUUACCACUAGACACUGUAGAAGAUCGUCCAGGACAGCCACCACCAUCUGAGAACACCAUGCUCCGGAGAUGCGGCCUGAUGACGUCAGCCACCAUCACCUCAGUAACAACUGUGAUUGUCACCUGAUGCUCUGUUGCCAGGCGUGAAUGAAAACAAUUAUCACCACUGUGUAAAACCUAUA